GUAGGUGGCAAGCGUUGUCCGGAUUUAUUGGGGCGUAAAGCGAGCGCAGGCGGUUCCUUAAGUCUGAUGUGAAAGCCCACGGCUCAACCGUGGGAAGGGUCAUUGGGAAACUGGGGGACUUGAGUGCAGAAGAGGAGAGUGGAAUUCCAUGUGUAGCGGUGAAAUGCGUAGAUAUAUGGAGGAACACCAGUGGCGAAGGCGACUCUCUGGUCUGUAACUGAUGCUGAGGCUCGAAAGCGUGGGGAGCAAACAGGAUUAGAUACCCUGGUAGUCCACGCCGUAAACGAUGAGUGCUAAGUGUUGGAGGGUUUCCACCCUUCAGUGCUGCAGCUAACGCAUUAAGCACUCCGCCUGGGGAGUACGGCCGCAAAGGCUG
rnacentral:rRNA from 1 species